AGUGAACGCUGGCGGCAGGCCUAACACAUGCAAGUCGAACGGCAGCACAGGAGAGCUUGCUCUCUGGGUGGCGAGUGGCGGACGGGUGAGGAAUACAUCGGAAUCUGCCUAUUUGUGGGGGAUAACGUAGGGAAACUUACGCUAAUACCGCAUACGACCUACGGGUGAAAGCGGAGGACCUUCGGGCUUCGCGCAGAUAGAUGAGCCGAUGUCGGAUUAGCUAGUUGGCGGGGUAAAGGCCCACCAAGGCGACGAUACGUAGCUGGUCUGAGAGGAUGAUCAGCCACACUGGAACUGAGACACGGUCCAGACUCCUACGGGAGGCAGCAGUGGGGAAUAUUGGACAAUGGGCGCAAGCCUGAUCCAGCCAUGCCGCGUGGGUGAAGAAGGCCUUCGGGUUGUAAAGCCCUUUUGUUGGGAAAGAAAAGCAACCGGUUAAUACCCGGUUGUUCUGACGGUACCCAAAGAAUAAGCACCGGCUAACUUCGUGCCAGCCGCCGCCGUAACAC
rnacentral:rRNA from 1 species